rnacentral:rRNA from 1 species
AUGCCUAUGCAAGUGGGCAAUGCGACUUACAGCUUGUCCAGAAAGCCCUGGCCAUGUACAAUAAACGAAGCACGUGGCUUUCCGGGCAUGUUGGGAAGCCUUGAUUGUAUGCAUUGUGAAUGGAAAAACUGUCCCACUGCAUGGAAGGGACAGUUCACACGCGGUGAUCACGGAGUCUCCACAAUGAUGCUUGCAGCGGUGGCGUCUCAAGACUUGUGGAUAUGGCAUGCAUUUUUUGGUGUUGCUGGAUCAACCAACGACCUCAAUGUGUUGAAUCAAUCUACUUUGUUCACCAACGUCUUACAAGGCCGAGCUCCUGCAGUUCAAUUUACAGUUUGUGGAAUCGAAUAUAAUAUGGGAUAUUAUCUGGUGGACGGAAUAUACUCAGAAUGGGCUGCGUUUGUGAAAACAAUUCCACUCCCUCAGAAUGAGAGGGACAAAUGUUUUGCACGACGUCAAGAGGGGGCAAGGAAAGACGUGGAACGAGCAUUCGGAGUUCUACAAGCUCGAUUCGCCAUUCUGCGAAUCCCAGCACGGUUCUGGGAGAGAUCAUUACUUGGUAAAAUCAUGUAUGCAUGCAUCAUAAUACAUAACAUGAUAGUCGAGGACGAGAGAGAUACAUAUAGGGUCCGCUAUGACUUUAAUUCGUACGACCAAGGGUGUAAUCCAAUUCCACCAGUACAACCAGAGCAUGGACCAAUUGAUGGCUUCACCGAUCUCCUGGAUAUAAAUGCUGCUCUUCUUGACAGACGACGUCACAUCCGGCUGAAGAAAGACUUGGUGGAGCAUAUAUGGCGUCGAUUUGGAGAUGGUCAAGGGAACAAUUAG